rnacentral:rRNA from 1 species
UACGUAGGGUGCAAGCGUUAAUCGGAAUUACUGGGCGUAAAGCGUGCGCAGGCGGUUGUGCAAGUCGGGUGUGAAAGCCCUCAGCUCAACUGAGGAAGUGCGCCCGAAACUGCAGAGCUUGAGUGCCGGAGAGGGUGGCGGAAUUCCCCAAGUAGAGGUGAAAUUCGUAGAUAUGGGGAGGAACACCGGUGGCGAAGGCGGUCCCCUGGGCCGGAACUGACGCCUGAGGCGCGAAAGCGUGGGGAGCAAACAGG